UACCUGCAGCUCAAGUGGUAACCGCUAUUAUUGGGCCUAAAGCGUCCGUAGCCGGUUUGGUAAAUAUCUGGGUAAAUCGUGAGGCUUAACUUCACGAAUUUCGGAUAGACUGCCAGACUUGGGAUCGGGGGAGGUCAGAGGUACUCCAGGGGUAGCGGUGAAAUGUUGUAAUCCUUGGAGGACCACCGGUAGCGAAGGCGUCUGACUAGAACGAGUCCGACGGUGAGGGACGAAGCCCUGGGGCGCAAACCGGAUUAGAUACCCCGGGUAGUCCAGGGUGUAAACGAUGUGGGCUUUGUAUUGGAGGUCCCACGUGGGCGUCCAGUGCAGAAGAGAAGUUGUUAAGCCCACCGCCUGGGAAGUACGGUCGCAAGGCUGAAACUUAAGGAAUUGGCGGGGGAGCACAGCAACGGGAGGAGCGUGCGGUUU
rnacentral:rRNA from 1 species